rnacentral:rRNA from 1 species
AUUGAACGCUGGCGGCAGGCCUAACACAUGCAAGUCGAGCGAGCGGCGGACGGGUGAGUAAUGUCUGGGUACUGCCCGUUAGGGGGGGAUAACUACUGGCAACGGUAGCUCAUACCGCAUACUGUCGGAUAACCCAUAUUGGAUUAGCUAGUCGGUGAGGUAAUGCCUCACCAAGGCGACGAUCCCUAGCUGGUCUGGGAGGAUGAUCAGCCAAACUGGGACUGAGACACGGCCCGGACUCACACGGAGGCAGCAGUGGGGAAUAUUGGACAAUGGGCGCAAGACUGAUACAGCCAUGCCGCGUGUAUGAAGAAGGCCCUAGGGUUGUAAAGUACUUUAAGUAGUGAGGCGUUACCGACAGAAGAAGCACCGGCUAACUCCGUGCCAGCAGCCGCGGUAAUAC